UGCCUACGGGACGCAGCAGUGGGGAAUAUUGCACAAUGGGGGAAACCCUGAUGCAGCGACGCCGCGUGAGCGAUGAAGUAUUUCGGUAUGUAAAGCUCUAUCAGCAGGGAAGAAAAUGACGGUACCUGACUAAGAAGCCCCGGCUAACUACGUGCCAGCAGCCGCGGUAAUACGUAGGGGGCAAGCGUUAUCCGGAUUUACUGGGUGUAAAGGGAGCGUAGACGGCUUGGCAAGCCAGAUGUGAAAGGCGGGGGCUCAACCCCCGGGCUGCUCUGGAAACUGCCAGGCUGGAGUGCAGGAGAGGG
rnacentral:rRNA from 1 species